rnacentral:lncRNA from 1 species
GAGGCCUGGAGUAACCUUUCGGGAUGACUUAUCGUGUGAAUCCUUUUCGGAGUUGUUAUGAAACUCGAUUUAGGUUCUCCCACUUCUCUUCUCUUUUGAAUUUUAUUUCGUUUUUUCAAAGAGGACAUUCUUCGGAAGUUUUUGACGUUGAUUUCGUCGUAACCAAUUUUGACCCCAACAGUUCCCGAUUGACAAAGAGAAUCAACCGGCGAUC